UUCCCAAAGUGAUUUGAUCUUCAAUAACGGGUUAUAUAUCAUCCACAUAAUCAACUUAACACAUAACUACCGUUCCAUAAAUUGUCAACACCUUAAAUAUGAAAAUUAUAUUAAAUAACUCUAAUAAUCAGAGAGUGGACACUCCCUUGAUACUCAAUUAUCAAUUUCAUAUUUUUUAACAGUUUGACUUAAAAAAUAUCACUUGUGUUGUAGAAGCCCAAAUUUGCCGGGCCAAGUGCCAAAAAUAAAACAAAAUAAAUAAAAUGCCACAGUCCAUUAAAGCAGGCCAAUAUGGCCUAAAUCAGAAAAUAAAAUACCCGGGCCCAUACCAGCAAAAUAGACCCAAAUAAUAAAAACAAAAGCAACCCAUUUUCAGCCAAUUUAAACCCAAAAACUACAAGCCCAAAUGCCCAAUAUUAAUAAAAACCCUAGAGGCCCGAAUGGCCCAAAACUACACCAACUUUCAAACACAAAAAGAAACCUCAGCCGCAUGUUGUUGCUGCCACCUCCUGCGCACGCCCACCGCCGCUACUCGCCAAUCGCUGGCUUCGCGUGUCCACGCGUCUGACACCAUCUGCCGCUGCAUGCUCCUCCUCCACUACCAGCACCUCCAUGCCCUGCAAGAUCAAGACAAAAAAACAGGAUAGAAUAAUAGAAAAAGGAUGUAAAAAGGGGUUAUAAAACCCGAAAUGAAGGACUGAACGGGGGGGGGAGGAUUUUUGAUAUUUCAAAGGAGGGGAAAACAGAUUGUAUUUUAGAUGAGGGAUUUGAGGGGAAACAGAUUGUAUUUUGGAGGGGAGAAUCGAUUGUAUUUCGGGGGGGUUUUAGAGAUACUACAUACUCAUAUUGAAUAAGAGAGUUCAAAAGCAAUUUUUUGGAGAAGGUGAUUUUCGAUUUAAAUCUCUGUAUACUUUUUUUUGGUUCUUCAUUCUUUUGGGUUCAUCGUUUUUAUGUUUGAAAGCAAAUAAAAAGAGAAGAAAGAAGUUCAUACCUGGCAAAUACACCAUAAAUCUCCUUUUUGAUUUGUUUGAAUCGAAGCCAAGAAGAGAUUUCAAGGCUGAAAAAUAAUUCCCCAGGCUUGAAUGUGUAACUUAGUGUUUGGGAGGGGAGCGAAUCGACAGAAUAAGGGGAAAGUAUAAGGUAUUAGGUUUUUUGCCUUAAUUGUUGUGGCUUGAAGAAAUGGCCAAUUGCCAUUCAAUUUCCUGCCAUUUUGAAGUAAAUUGAAACAGUGGUGGUUAAGGGUGGGGACCACGUGUUGACCCAUGACCCAAUUGUGCAUUUUUAUGUCAAAUGGGAAAUUUCCAUGAUUAAUCCCCCACUUUUUGCACCACAUUUCAGCAGACCCCCAUUGGCAUCCAUGUGUUUUAUUUUAAUUUUUCCCCAAAAAUUUGUACACCGUUUCAUUUUAGUCCACUCCAAGGUGCAGCGUUUUGGGACCUGGAUUAUUUUCAGUCCUUGUCCCUAUACAUUUAUAUACUUUGCACUUUUUAUUUUUUUAAGUUUUUUUUUAAAACUAUCUUAUUUGUAAAUUAUUCCUUUUAUUUUAGGUUUAAUUUUAAUCUAGUCUUUUAUUUGCAUAAUCUGCUUGUGACAGCCCUAAUUUGGCCCUAGUUGCAAAGUGGUUUCGGGACCACAAAACCGAGUCAUAAAAAUAAUUAACCGUUAUAAUCUAUGCUUACUGUAUAUGUACAUACUUUUCAUUUAUUAUAAAUAUACUUUUUAUAUUUUUAUAUUUCAUAUUUUUAUGUAUACAUAGAUAUAGGCAUAAAUACAUACAUCUUAAUUCAUAUAUAUGUAGAUAUACGUACUUAUACAUACUUAAAUAUAUUUUUCAUAUUUCAUAAUUCUUAUAUACUUACAUAUAUUUAUGCAUAUUUUACAUCAUAUACAUACUUAUAUAUAUUCUUUAUAUUCUUAAAAAUGCUUUUUGUAUAUUUCACAUAUUUUAUAAUUCACAUACAUAUAUUUCAUAUUAUCACGAUUUGUAAAUAUAUAUAAACACAUAUUUACAUUUUUAUUUUUAUAAUACUUACCGAUUUUUUAUAUAUGUAUAUAUUUAUCUAUGUUUUCAUAUUCUAUAAUUUAUAUGCAUUUCUUAUUUUAUGGCUUAAAAUUAUACAUGCAUAUACAUUUUUACAUAAUUGUAUUUAUUGUCAUCAUUGUUAUUUGGUGUUUGUUUAUUUAUUCAUGUACACUUGUGCUUUUUCUAAAAUGUUAGUUCUAUUUAUUUAUUUGUAUGCUUUGUAAUCGCCUCGUCAUUUCAUUUUGCCUAUUGUACUGUUGCUACUCAUUUUACUUUGUUCACCUUGUCGUAGUUGUUAUUGUCUUGUCAAGCAUUGACACUAAACAUCAAAAAGAAAAAUUUUUCUAAAUGAGGCAAUAUUUCGCGUUUGGAAAAUCGAGAAAAUGUGCCCUAACGUGCUGGGUUUCGAUUUCUCGUUCGACUAAAUAGCCAAAUAUCCUCUUAAAGCUUCAAAGUAUGGCUUUAAUAAACUAUAAGGUGAUCUUGGUUUCGAUGGUAUAGAGUAUCGUGUCCUAACGUGCUGAAUGUGAUAUUCCUUCGGAACAAGAGAAUCUUAUAUUUCAAUUCACGUUAUCAGAGUUCCUUUUAAGGAUCGUAUUUUUAAAACUCUUCAAAUUUUCAAUUUUCGACACUAAGACACUGAUUAAUCAACUAGGUACCAAUUUUGGGCGUAUCGAGUGUGCUAAUCCUUCCUCGUGCGUAACCGACUCCUGAACCCAUUUUUCUGAAUUUCGUAGACAAAAAAUUGUUGUUUUAAUAAAAUCUAAAUCGUUUAUUAAAAACAACCAUUUUACGAGGUGACCCGAUCACACCUCAUGAAAAAAGAUUGGUGGCGACUCCCAUUUUUCGUUUUAUUUUCAAAAUCCAAGUUGACCCCGUUUUCAUCCAAAAAAUGGUGUCAACAGCUUGGCGACUCCACUGGGGAAGAAAUUAAGAGAGUCAAGCCACGAGUUGAUUGCUUUUUGUCUUUGUGUCAAAAUUGAAAACUUACUUUUUGCCUUUAUUUUGGAUUUUAUUAUUUGUUUAUAAUUACUGCUUUGUUUAGAGUUUAGGUGUAUAUUUCUGCACAUUCCAUUGCAUGACCGUUGGUCACACCUUUUAAGUGGGAGUGAGAAACUACGCCUUCGUGAGGUUUUCACCUCCGCAUGGGAUAGUGAAUCGCUUCCGGGAUACAUCCGUACCUAUGUCUUCGUGAGAUUUUCAUCUCCGCAUGGCCAUAGGGAAAUGUAUUCCCCUGAACUGAACUCGGUCCAUAUGAGCCUAUAAUGGGUGAGGAUCGAGGAAUCUACUGGUUCAGGUACCCUUACUUUAGAACCAAACCACACAUAGCGAGCCAUAAGAACCCACCGAGAUAGAGCUAUUCCAGACCCUAGUGCUUACCGAAUAGAUGCUUUAUUUAUUAUUGUUUACUUUAAAUCCUAGAUCUAAUUUGCUUUGUUUGUGAUUGCAUGGCAUUUUCAUUUCAAAAGAGGUGUCGAUUCACGUUCAGUAUAGAUAGAAAGCUUAUCAUGGAAAAGAGGUUUCUUGAUAAAGUAGAAGACAAUGCAGCUGUACGAUUAUGGGCUGAGACGAUGUGGAGAGAGAAAGGCGAUAGUCUUGCAGAAGGGUACGUAUUAGAGUUAUGGGACUUCACCCGUAUCAGCGUAAUCCAAAAUGAUCUUCGAGAAAUGAAGGAAAUAUGGGAUCAAUGGGACGACGGGACCAAGCAGAUGUUUUACUGUGACUACGGGGACUUGCCUUACCUACUUGGUAUCAAAGUGGACAAGCAUUUAUUCCAAGCCCUAGCCCAGUUUUGGAAUCCUGCUUACAGUUGUUUCACUUUUGGAAAAGUGGACUUGGUUCCCACCAUGGAAGAAAUACGACCCUGCUUCGGUGUCCAAAGAUUCAAAUUGACAAAGCCUAUUCUAGAGCUGCUAGUGUCCCGACAUUAUUAAAAAAAUUGAUGAGCAUUACAGGGAUGAGCGAACAGUGGGUCGCUGCCCGGAUCCAACAGAAAGGAGACAGUAAAUGCGUUCCUUGGAAAAGCUUGCGAGAUUUAGUAUUAGCACACCCUGAUGUGAAGAAAAGAGUGGAUGUCUUCGCUCUAGGUAUCUAUGGAUUGGUAAUUUUCCCUAGAGCUUUAGGGCACGUAGAUGAGGCCGUCUCUGAUUUGUUCGAUCGGCUUAGUAGAGGAGUCACGCCCAUCCCGGUAAUCUUAGCAGAAACCUUCAGAUCUCUAAGCGCAUGUCGAAGAGCAGGGGAGGGAAGGUUCAUCGGAUGCGCGCAGCUACUAUUGGUGUGGUUCCAUAGUCACUUUUGGAAGGUGGAAAAUGUCUCCUAUCGAGUCUUCUCAGAAGACUAUUCUCCAUUGAAGGAACAAGUUGCUACACCAAGACGAGACGACAUCACGGAAGAAAAGUGGAUGACGAUGCUCCAAAAUCUUCAGGAGGAUGACGUUGAAUGGAAAGCUCCUUGGAUGGUACCCGACGAGAUCCUGUACCGAUGUGGGGAUUUCGACUGGGUCCCUUUACUCGGAAUUUGGGGAGCUGUCGGUUAUGCCCCUUUACUCGUAUUAAGACAAUAUAGAUCGAGACAGUUCAUACCAGCAACACAAGGGCUGGCUCAAUGUGAGUUUUCUUAUAAGGAUGAAAACUACAAGAGAAAAACUCGAGAAAUAUCUAACGCUUGGAAACAGGUUCACCGAAUGAAAAGAUUUACCGUAGGAGCGAUGGCAACUUCAGAAUAUUAUGGGUGGUGGAGUAAAAGAGUCAAUGACAACAUCCCUAAGCCGAGGGAAGAUUGCGUUCAGUCUAUAGAAGAGCAUCUACAAGUAGUUCCGUCAGAAUUAGAGAUCAUCAAACGAGACUUUGAGAAAAGAAAUUCUGACUUGGGAAAGAGGAUAGAACAGUUAGAAGAAGAAAGAGUGCAUUUGGGAAUAGACAUCGAUAUCCACAAGCUAGAAGCCGAGAAAUUAAGGAAGGGAAAGAACAAAGCUGAAGAGGAUUUGGAUAGUCUAAAAACAGAUUACAAGAAGCUGCGAUUGUCGAUGAGAACUGUCGGUCUGGGUAAAACGUCAGAGCAGUGGCGACAAGAGAUCAAUGAGGAAAAGAAUAGGGCCAAUCAGUGGGAAAAGAAAUUUCAAGAUGCUCGAGCUCGAGAAAACGCUUUGGAAAGGAGUUUGUUAGAGUGCCGAAAUGAGAAGGCAGGAUUAAAGGCCAAGGUGGCAGAGCUAGAAAAGUCACUUCACUCGUACCGUAGUCGCAACUCCAUGAUCGAAUUAAGAGCAAGCUUAAAUAAGAUCGAAGAACUGAAAGGAAAGGUAGAGGAGCUUGAGGACGCAUUACACAAUUCUGAGCUACGAAUGGAGCUUCUUGAGAGGAGUAAUGAUCAAUGGCAAGAGCAAUUCCAUCAUUCUCAAAGGCAGAUUAGAGAUAGAGAUUACGUUAUGGGCGAAGCUGUGACUCAAGUGCGGGAAGUGGAUGAUCAUCUGCAAACAUUAGCAGUUCAGGCCGAUGUAUUGAGUUUAAAAUAUGAGUCAGAAUCAAGCCGAGGUCGAGAUUUAGCUUGGCUUCUUAGGAAGGUUAAGGCUUUGGGUAUAAAGGCGAAGCCGUAUAUGUAAUUUAUUUUAUGUAAAGAAAUUUGCUUUCUAGUUGAGUUUUCUAAUGAAAUUGAAUUCGAAUCAAUGCCUCUUUUUUGCAUUCAUCUCAUACAUUUGCAUUACAUCUCAUAAAAUGACCCUAAUAAAAUUAAAUUAUGACAAUUACCCUGGAAACCAACAAAAAUCUAAUCAAAUAUCACUACGGUACUCAUCGCCAAACAAAAGCAAUGGAUCAAAGGUUGGAAAGAUUGGAACAGUUGCAACGAGAGAUGCAAGAUCAGAUGCAUGAACCACUGGAAAAAAUCCAGCAGGACAUGUUAGAAUCCCAGAACACUGUGAUGAACCAAUUAAAGCAGUUAUUGGCUGGAGGAAAUAACAAAGGAAAAGACCCCGUAGUUGAUGCUGGGGAAGAUCACGAUGACCCUGUUUAUCCUCCAGGUUUCACCCCAACUAACAUCCAAGCACAACCAGAGGUGUACCCACAGAGGGUACCGGUUACCAUUAGACCUCAAUAUCUGGCUGGUGCCUCGGUACCAUUGCAUUUUCAAAUGGGCUCGGGUUCUAAUCCCGGGGAUAAUCCCACUAAUCCGGUGGUCCCGGACCUCGAUGACAUGGCAGAAACAGAAAAAACAAGAAUGAACCUGCCAAAACAACUGGAGGACCGAUGUAGAUGGUUAGAGGAAAAAUUUAGAGUUAUGGAGAACAUCGACUAUCAUCGCGGGGUUGACGCCAAGGAUCUGAGUUUGGUCCCUGAUUUAGUACUCCCACCUAAGUUCAAAAUGCCAGAAUUCGAAAAAUAUAAUGGGACUAGUUGUCCUGAAGCUCAUAUAACUAUGUUCUGUCGAAGAAUGACAGGAUACGUCAACAACGAUCAACUGUUAAUCCACUGCUUCCAGGACAGUUUGAUCAGAUCUGCAGCCAAAUGGUACAACCAACUGAGUCAUGUUAAAGUUAGUUCAUGGAGAGACUUGGCGCAAGCUUUUAUGAAGCAGUACAGUCAUGUAACGGAUAUAACACCCGAUCGAAUUACGUUACAAAACAUGGAGAAAAAGCCUAGCGAGAAUUUCAGGCAGUACGCCCAACGAUGGAGAGAAGUGGCAACACAAGUCCAGCCACCCCUUUUGGAAAAAGAGGUCACCAUGUUGUUUAUCAACACUCUGAAAGCCCCGUUCAUCAACCACAUGUUGGGGAGUGCUACCAAGAGCUUCUCGGAUAUGGUAAUGUCCGGUGAGAUGAUUGAGAACGCGGUAAGGAGCGGUAAGAUUGACACGGGGGAAAACUUCAAAAGACCAGCCCCAAGGAAAAAAGAGGGCGAAGUAAACAACGUAAGCACAUAUAGCAAGAGCCAUUCAAAAUCGAUUACUGUUGGCCCUCCAAAAAUGAUAACCACUAGUCACCAAGCCCCCUCGAGGCAGGAACCCAACACAAGGCCCAACACAAGGACUAACACAGAGAGACUUCAAUUCACGCCCAUUCCAAUAACAUACGUGGAACUGUAUCAGAAGUUAUUUGAUGCACACAUAGUAUCUCCAUUUUAUCUCGAGCCCAUGCAACCUCCAUAUCCCAAAUGGUAUGACACGAAUGCACAAUGUGAAUACCAUGCAGGGAUACCAGGACACUCAAUUGAGAACUGCACUGGGUUUAAAAAGGCGGUGGAAAGGUUCAUUAAGAUGGGGAUUGUGAAGUUUGACAACCCAUUAGGGCCCAACGUAGCAGCGAAUCCGUUACCCAACCAUGCUGAUAAAGGGGUAAACGCAAUAAUCGAAGGUGAGAAAAAGAGAAUCAAAAUCGACAUUGCAGAGAUAAAAACCCCAUUGAGUUGGGUUUGGAGACAAAUGAUAGAAGGAGGUCUCAUCAAACAAGAUUCAAAAGAAAGGCCCGAAGGAACGAAGACGUACUGCGAGUUUUAUGCUGAAGAAGACCAUGACAUUCAAAACUGCACUGAAUUCAAGGCCAUGGUACAAAAUCUGAUGAACAACAAAGAGCUAGAAUUUUAUGAAGAGAUCAAAGGACUUGAAAAGGGAGAAGUUUAUGCCUCGGAGGAGGAGCCUAUGGGAAAGGCCCAAAAUCACCCGGUGGUGAUUAUUUCAAGGCCAACAAACACAGGAUCUGGAAUACAACUGGCGUCAAGGGUCAUAAUCCAAAAACCUGUAGCAUUUCCUUACAAGGAUAGCAAAAAGGUUCCUUGGAAUUAUGACUGCAAUGUGAUGAUCACGGGAGAGGAGAACCCGAUAAAUGCUUCAGAAGAAGGUAAUGACGCAGGCUUCUAUACGCGUAGUGGAAAACGUUACGACCCGAGAAAUACAAAAAGGGGGCUUAUAAAAGGAAAAGCCUUGGCGGUUGAACAAGAUAAAACGAAGACGACUGGAAUUGAACCGCAUAUUAACACACCGGUGACUGAAAAUGAGGCUAGAGAAUUCCUAAAAUUCUUGAGGCAUAGCGAGUAUAGCGUGGUGGAACAAUUGCAUAAGCAACCCGCUCGCAUCUCAAUGCUCGAGUUACUUCUAAGUUCAGAGAUACAUCGUAAUGCGUUGGUAAAAGUGCUAAAUGAGACUUAUGUCGCUAAAGAUAUCUCAGUGAACAAAUUGGAUCGCCUGGUUAACAAUAUAAAUACCGAUAACUUCAUCUUCUUCAACGAUGAUGAGAUCCCGCCAGGUGGUAUGGGAUCUACCAAGGCCUUGCACAUCACCGCCCAUUGCAAGGGGUGUAUACUACCGGCGGUACUCGUGGACAAUGGAUCGGCCCUGAAUGUUUUACCCCUGUCCACAUUAAACAGGCUACCUGUGGAUAAUUCUCACAUGAAAUCAUGCCAAAAUAUAGUGAGAGCAUUUGAUGGCACUGAGAGAAAAGUGAUGGGGAAAAUCGAGAUACCCCUAUUGAUUGGUCCAAAUACAUACGAGGUGGACUUUUUGGUAAUGGAUAUUAAACCAUCUUACAAUUGCCUAUUGGGGAGGCCUUGGAUCCAUUCUGCAGGAGCUGUACCAUCGUCACUUCACCAAAAGUUAAAAUUGGUGAUAGAGGGUCGAUUGGUAACUAUAGGUGCAGAAGAAGACAUCAUUGCAUCAGUCACCGAUGAUAUGCCAUACAUAGAGGCUGAUAGUGAAGCGAUAGAAUGUUCAUUUCGAUCAUUGGAAUUCGUAAAUGCCACAUUUGUCAUCGAGAUGAGCAAAAUCCCAGAGCCUAAGAUAUCCAAAGCUACGUCAAUGAGCUUACAGCUAACGAUGGGGAAGGGAGCAUUGCCUGGAAGAGGAUUGGGAAAAUACCUCCAGGGAAGGGUCGAAGUACUGAUCCUAGUUAACAAACAGGACCGUUAUGGUUUGGGAUAUAAGCCUAAUGCGAGGGAAAGGAGGAAGGAGAUGGAGAAAAAGCAAGAAAGGAGAAGAGCACAUUUGGGGGGGAUAGAAGCCAAGUGGGGACCGAUAACCUUUCCUCUUAUAUCUAAGACUUUUGUUUCAGGGGGAAUUGUCCACCCUGAAGAGAAUGAUGAGGUUACAGAAGGAAGGAUUGAGAUGUUGGACAUCAAUGCCAUAUCCGCGGAAGAAAGGGUGGAAAGGAAUUUAUCGGGCAUUCGUCCUUACGAACCUGGAAGUGUUCUGAAUAACUGGACUGCAGAAGAGAUCCCUGUAACAUUUAGAACUAAUUCAGAGUAAUAUUCAGAACACUUGUUGCCCUAAGCCUGGGGGUAAUAAGAAUCUUUUGUAAAAGGCACAUGUCCAAAAGCUAAUUUCAGUGAAAACUUAUCAUUCAGUUUCAUCUUGAGCAAAUAUUCUUUCAUUCUUUUCAUCCCCUUUAUAAUCAUACUAUGCAUACAAGUAUUCUUAGAUUCUUUUAUUUGAGCCUUCAUUUGUUCCAAUAACAGGUCUUCAGAUAUCAACGAGAUGAGCGACGCUGUUACUAAUUCAGAGUCUCUAUUUGAGCAAGACAUGAGUAUAGAUGAUCCUCAAGAUUUUGAGGGUGACCAAGACAGCGUUUUAUCUCCGGAUUUGUUAAGAAUGAUGGAAGAAGAAGAAAAACAAAUUCUACCCUAUAAGGAAUCAGUAGAAGUUGUGAUCUUAGAAGAGGGCAGAGAGGUAAAAGUUGGCGCUUGCAUUGCCAAGGAAACAAGGCGAGACCUUGUUGAGUUGCUUCAAGAGUUUAAAGAUGUCUUCGCAUGGUCCUACCAAGAUAUGCCAGGUUUAAGUACUGAUAUCGUGGUGCACCGAUUGCCUAUAAAGGAAGACUGCAAACCAGUCCAACAAAAGCUCCGAAGGAUGAGGCCUGAUGUCUUGCUAAAAAUAAAGGAAGAAGUUAGGAAGCAAUUUGAUGCUGGUUUCUUACAGGUGGUCAAGUACUCAGAUUGGGUAGCCAAUAUAGUCCCUGUUCCUAAGAAAGAUGGGAAGGUGCGAAUGUGUGUGGACUACAGAGACUUGAACAAAGCCAGCCCAAAAGAUAAUUUCCCACUGCCUCAUAUCGAUACCUUGGUAGACAACACGGCCGGAUACUCACUGUUCUCUUUCAUGGAUGGUUUCUCCGGGUACAACCAAAUUAAGAUACUUUCUGAAGACAGGGAGAAGACCACAUUCAUAACGAUGUGGGGGACGUUUUGUUAUAAAGUGAUGCCUUUUGGAUUGAAAAAUGCGGGAGCAACGUAUCAGAGAGCCAUGGUAGCAUUAUUCCAUGAUAUGAUGCAUAAAGAGAUAGAAGUUUAUGUUGAUGACAUGAUCGCAAAAUCCAGAACAGAAAGGGAACACGUGCAAGUUCUGAGAAAACUGUUUCUGAGGUUAAGGAAGUUUCAGCUAAAACUUAACCCAGCCAAGUGUACUUUCGGGGCUAGAUCAGGAAAAUUGCUAGGAUUCUUAGUCAGCGAAAAGGGAAUUGAAAUUGACCCAGACAAAGUUAAGGCCAUACAAGAAUUACCUCCGCCAAGUACUCAAAAAGAAGUUCGGGGUUUCCUAGGAAGACUAAAUUACAUCGCUCGAUUCAUUUCACAAUUAACUGAGAAAUGUGACCCCAUAUUCCGUCUUCUUAGGAAACACAAUCCAGGUGUAUGGGAUGAGGAGUGCCAGAAAACUUUCGAAAGAGUUAAACAUUACUUGUCCAACGCCCCAGUACUGAUGCCACCUUGCCCUGACAAACCACUGAUACUAUACUUGGCAGUAUUUGAGAAUUUCAUGGGGUGCGUGCUCGGCCAACAUGAUGAGUCAGGACGAAAAGAAAGAGCGAUCUAUUAUCUCAGUAAGAAGUUCACUGAAUGCGAAACGAGAUAUUCGCCAAUUGAAAAAUUAUGUUGCGCAUUGGUUUGGACUACUCGGAGAUUGAGACAAUACAUGUUGUACCAUACGACUUGGUUAAUCUCAAAGUUAGAUCCUCUGAAAUACAUGAUGGAGUCAACUGCUCUAAACGGAAAGAUGGCCCGAUGGCAAAUUCUACUAUCUGAAUUUGACAUAACCUAUGUGAAUCAAAAGGCUGUAAAAGGGAGCGCGAUAGCAGAUUUUCUAGCAAGUAGAGCCCUGGACGAUUAUGAGCCUUUGAACUUUGAUUUCCCAAAUGAGGAUCUGAUGUAUGUGGCAACUACUGAAGCGAGCACACAAGAAGGCAAUACUUGGAAAUUAAAUUUUGACGGAGCCUCAAAUGCCAUGGGCAACGGGAUUGGGGCAGUCUUGGUAUCUCUAAACGGUGAUCAUUAUCCUUUCACCAGUAAACUAGAUUUUGAUUGCACAAAUAACAUGGCGGAAUAUGAAGCAUGUAUCAUGGGAAUCCGCGCGGCUAUGGAACGUAAAAUCAAGGUACUUGAGGUAUAUGGGGAUUCGGCAUUGGUAAUUUAUCAGCUCAAAGGCGAAUGGGAAACAAGAGACCCUAAGUUGAUUAGUUACCGAAGGAUAGUCCUAGAAUUGAUUGAGGAAUUUGACAACAUCACUUUUUGUUAUCUCCCACGAGACGAGAAUCAGAUGGCCGACGCUUUAGCUAUAUUGGCUUCCAUGAUCAAAGUAAAUAGACCAGAGGAUGUGAAGCCUAUCCAAAUGAGCAUUUAUGAUGCUCCAGCCCACUGUUGUAACAUUGACAAUGAAGAAGAAAAGGACGACAACCCUUGGUAUCAGGAUAUAUUGCGAUACGUGAAAAAUCGUGAAUACCCAAACCAAGCAACUGAGAAUGACAAGAGAAUGUUGAGGAGGCUGGCCAGUGAUUACGUCUUAGAUGGAGAGAUCCUGUACAAAAGAGGAAAAGAUCAGGUGCUGUUAAGAUGUGUGGACGCUGUGGAGGCCAAGCAGAUCUUGGAAGAAGUCCAUGAUGGUAUUUGUGGAACACACGCUAACGGUUUCACAAUGGCCAGACAGAUCAUGAGAUUUGGAUAUUAUUGGUCUACCAUGGAAGGAGACUGCAUCAAAUAUGCCAAGAAGUGCCAUAAAUGCCAGAUUUACGGAGACAAAAUUCAUGUGCCUCCAUCACCUCUUCACGUCAUGACUUCCCCAUGGCCUUUCUCCAUGUGGGGCAUGGACGUCAUUGGGCCGAUAUCGCCAAAGGCUUCAAACGGACAUCGUUUCAUUUUUGUAGUGAUUGACUACUUUACUAAGUGGGUAGAGGCUAUUUCUUACGCCAACGUCACAAAGACAGUUGUCAGCAAGUUUUUAAAGAAGGAAAUCAUAUGUCGGUAUGGAAUGCCCGAAAGGAUUAUAUCUGACAACGCAUUAAAUUUGAAUAAUAGCACGAUAGCAGAGGUUUGUAGUCAAUUCAAGAUCAAGCACCACAACUCAUCGCCAUAUCGUCCGAAGAUGAAUGGUGCGGUGGAGGCAGCCAAUAAAAAUAUCAAAAAUAUUGUGGGGAAAAUGACCGAGACCUAUAGAGAUUGGCACGAGAAGUUGCCAUUCGCCCUCUAUGCUUAUCGAACGUCCGUCAGGACUUCUACCGGGGCAACACCAUUCUCUUUGGUUUAUGAAAUGGAGGCAGUGCUACCAAUUGAGGUUGAAAUUCCCUCUCUCCGAGUUUUUUCAGAACUAAAGUUAGACGAAGCAGAAUGGGUCCAAUCCCGAUAUGAUCAGCUGAACUUGAUUGAAGAAAGGAGGUUAAGAGCUAUCCGUCAUGGUCAAAUGUACCAGAAACGAAUGAUGCGAGCUUACAAUAAGAAAAUUCGUCCUAGAAACUUCCAUGAAGGGGACUUGGUACUGAAGAAGAUCCUUCCCAUGCAAAAAGACUUCAGAGGAAAGUGGAUGCCAAACUGGGAGCGACCUUAUGUAGUAAAAAAGGCCUUUUCAGGAGGGGCAUUAAUUUUAACUGGGAUGGAUGGCAAAAGCUUGCCCAAUCCUGUGAAUUCGGAUUCAGUGAAGAGGUACUUUGCCUAAAAAAAAAAAAAGGAGAGGCCAAGGCGAAAACCCGCAAAGGGCACCUUGAGACCAAAUGGGUUUUGAAUUGAAAACCCAGGAAUGGGCAAUUCAAAUUUUCGAUCAAAGAUGAGGCAUAAAGUAGUUUUGUCUUCUUCGAAUUAACAAGAAGGAAAGAUGCUACAUCUUGGGGCAUCAACAAAGCCUUCUAGGACUUCUAAACACAUAUCAAGUUCAAAAGGGUCCUUAAGAAGUUUGGGGCAGAGAAGCUCAUGCUACGAUAUCUGGGGCACCUAUUUCUAUUUUAUUCAUUUUUUGUAUUUUUGACAAAAUACAUCAUCUUGAUUAAUUUAUUCUCAUUUUGUAUUCUAGCAAAAUUUGCUAUCUUGAUUAAUUUGUUUAUUUAGAGCUUUGCUCUCAGCAAAUUUUCAUCUUAUCCGUUGUGAUAAUCUUUUUCAUCUUAUUCCUCUCGUAUCUCAGCAAAAUUUGCUAUCUUGAUUUGUUUGUUUAGAGCUUUGCUCUCAACAAAAUUUCAUUUUGUCCAUUUUGAUAAUCUUUUUCAAGCAUUUUUCAUUGAAAUAACGAUUAAUGGAUUGACAAUACACAUGCAGAAGGAGUUCUGCAUAUUACUCUGAAAGUUUCUAAAUAAUACGAGGACCUGAAACAGGACUAUUGUUUAGAACUAACCAAACCUAAGGGUUGGAAACAUUUGAGAAAUGAUAGUCUAAAUAGCAUCUAUUUCUUUAGGUUUUCUGUCAAAGGUACUGGCUGAACAAUAAUGCAUCAGUGAUAGAACCUUGAUGAACAAUGAUGAAUGACAACCUAAGCAUUAAAAAUGGAUCAUUCUCAUGACAUUCUACAAAUAUAAUACAUACACAUCUAGUUAGGAGCAUUUGAUUCAUUCUGAUCAUGUCAUCCUAAACACUAGGUAGCAAAUCCUAUCUUCCUAUAUUGGUAGGAAGUGGAUCGAAGAUGCAGAUCUUGUCUUCCCAUAUUGGUGGCGAAGUAGAUCGAAGAAAGCAGAUCUUGUCUUCAUGUAUUAGCGUGAAGUAGAUCGAAGGUAGCAGAUCCUAUCUUCCUAUAUUGGUAGGAAGUGGAUCGAAGAUGCAGAUCUUGUCUUCCCAUAUUGGUGGCGAAGUAGAUCGAAGAAAGUAGAUCUUGUCUUCAUGUAUUGGCGUGAAGUAGAUCGAAGGUAGCAGAUCCUAUCUUCCUAUAUUGGUAGGAAGUGGAUCAAAGAUGCAGAUCUUGUCUUCCCAUAUUGGUGGCGAAGUAGAUCGCAGAAAGCAGAUCUUGUCUUCAUGUAUUGGCGUGAAGUAGAUCGAAGGUAGCAGAUCCUAUCUUCCUAUAUUGGUAGGAAGUGGAUCGAAGAUGCAGAUCUUGUCUUCCCAUAUUGGUGGCGAAGUAGAUCGCAGAAAGCAGAUCUUGUCUUCAUGUAUUGGCGUGAAGUAGAUCGAAGGUAGCAGAUCCUAUCUUCCUAUAUUGGUAGGAAGUGGAUCAAAGAUGCAGAUCUUGUCUUCCCAUAUUGGUGGCGAAGUAGAUCGCAGAAAGCAGAUCUCGUCUUCAUGUAUUGGCGUGAAGUAGAUCGAAGGUAGCAGAUCCUAUCUUCCUAUAUUGGUAGGAAGUGGAUCAAAGAUGCAGAUCUUGUCUUCCCAUAUUGGUGGCGAAGUAGAUCGCAGAAAGUAGAUCUUGUCUUCAUGUAUUGGCGUGAAGUAGAUCGAAGGUAGCAGAUCCUAUCUUCCUAUAUUGGUAGGAAGUGGAUCGAAGAUGCAGAUCUUGUCUUCCCAUAUUGGUGGCGAAGUAGAUCGCAGAAAGCAGAUCUUGUCUUCAUGUAUUGGCGUGAAGUAGAUCGAAGGUAGCAGAUCCUAUCUUCCUAUAUUGGUGGGAAGUAGAUCGAAGAUGCAGAUCUUGUCUUCCCAUAUUGGUGGCGAAGUAGAUAGCAGAAAGCAGAUCUUGUCUGCAUGUAUUGGCGUGAAGUAGAUCGAAGAAAGCAGAUCUUGUCUUCAUGUAUUGGCGUGAAGUAGAUCGAAGAUAGCAGAUCCUAUCUUCCUAUAUUGGUAGGAAGUGGAUCGAAGAUGCAGAUAUUGUCUUCCCAUAUUGGUGGCGAAGUUGAUCGCAGAAAGCAGAUCUUGUCUUCAUGUAUUAGCGUGAAGUAGAUCGAAGAUACAGAUCUUGUCUUCCUAUACUGGUGGUGAAGUAGAUCGAAGAAAGCAGAUCUUGUCCCUGUAUUUGGCAGGGGAAUAGAUUGAGGAUUGCAGAUCUUGCCUUCCUGUAUUUGGCAGCGAAGCAGAUCGACGAUGGCGGAUUUUACCUCCCUGACUACAGUGGAGUACAUUGAAGCCGAUAACUCUAUCUCCCUGCAUUCAACAGUGGAAUAGAGUGAAGAUUACAGAUCUUAUUCCCCUAAGCAGUAGCGGAAUAGAUCACAUCCAGUCUUAUCUCCCUAAGCAAUAGUGGAGCAGAUCAUAUUCAGUCUUAUCUCCCUAAGCAGUAGUGGAGCAGAUGAAGAAAACGACAAAUCUCAUCCUCAUGGAGUUGCAGCAGAAUAGAUUUAAGUCAUGUUUCUCCGGAGCGCAGUGAAGUGGAUUGAAGCAACGAGACACAGCAGAACAGAAUAAGGCUACUUGAAGAAGAUGAGCACCAAAAAGUCAAGCCUCGGCGAGACCAGGCAAAUUUGGUCUUUCUUGGCCUUUGCUCUGUUCUCGUUACACGAAAACGAGCAAAGAGGGGCAACUGUAGAAGCCCAAAUUUGCCGGGCCAAGUGCCAAAAAUAAAACAAAAUAAAUAAAAUGCCACAGUCCAUUAAAGCAGGCCAAUAUGGCCUAAAUCAGAAAAUAAAAUACCCGGGCCCAUACCAGCAAAAUAGACCCAAAUAAUAAAAACAAAAGCAACCCAUUUUCAGCCAAUUUAAACCCAAAAACUACAAGCCCAAAUGCCCAAUAUUAAUAAAAACCCUAGAGGCCCGAAUGGCCCAAAACUACACCAACUUUCAAACACAAAAAGAAACCUCAGCCGCAUGUUGUUGCUGCCACCUCCUGCGCACGCCCACCGCCGCUACUCGCCAAUCGCUGGCUUCGCGUGUCCACGCGUCUGACACCAUCUGCCGCUGCAUGCUCCUCCUCCACUACCAGCACCUCCAUGCCCUGCAAGAUCAAGACAAAAAAACAGGAUAGAAUAAUAGAAAAAGGAUGUAAAAAGGGGUUAUAAAACCCGAAAUGAAGGACUGAACGGGGGGGGAGGAUUUUUGAUAUUUCAAAGGAGGGGAAAACAGAUUGUAUUUUAGAUGAGGGAUUUGAGGGGAAACAGAUUGUAUUUUGGAGGGGAGAAUCGAUUGUAUUUCGGGGGGGUUUUAGAGAUACUACAUACUCAUAUUGAAUAAGAGAGUUCAAAAGCAAUUUUUUGGAGAAGGUGAUUUUCGAUUUAAAUCUCUGUAUACUUUUUUUUGGUUCUUCAUUCUUUUGGGUUCAUCGUUUUUAUGUUUGAAAGCAAAUAAAAAGAGAAGAAAGAAGUUCAUACCUGGCAAAUACACCAUAAAUCUCCUUUUUGAUUUGUUUGAAUCGAAGCCAAGAAGAGAUUUCAAGGCUGAAAAAUAAUUCCCCAGGCUUGAAUGUGUAACUUAGUGUUUGGGAGGGGAGCGAAUCGACAGAAUAAGGGGAAAGUAUAAGGUAUUAGGUUUUUUGCCUUAAUUGUUGUGGCUUGAAGAAAUGGCCAAUUGCCAUUCAAUUUCCUGCCAUUUUGAAGUAAAUUGAAACAGUGGUGGUUAAGGGUGGGGACCACGUGUUGACCCAUG
rnacentral:lncRNA from 1 species